rnacentral:lncRNA from 1 species
CGUCCCAGGGUGCUCCCUCGGGAUUGUGCUUCACCAGGUCCAGAGGAGCAACGGUGAACCCCCGCGUGCCCUGGCGUGCUCAAGACAGUUAACUUACCAAUCGAUCAAGGGCAGGUGGCCUUACACAUAUGAAGUACAGCUGUUCAUCUAAGUAUGGGUCCUCAGCUUGGCCGUACAUCAGAGUCCCCAGCUGCCCUGACUGUUCCAGAGACCAGGCCACGUGUAACAGGCAUAUCAUGAAUCCGGAAGAAGUCAGUUAAGGAUGGUCCAAGGAUCUGUGGCAGACAGACCUGGGUCUGAGAAGUCCUGACCCUCAGUUUACUCUGUGUUGUGCCCUGAAUGUCUCUGUUCUCCCACCCCCAAAUUCUCACACUGAAAUCCUCACUCUUGAGGUGAUGGUAUAAGGAACAGGGUGGUUUGGGGAGGUGAUUUCAUUGUGGAGGCAAAGCCGUCAAGAAUGGGAUUAGUGCCCUUCUAAAAGAAGCCCCAGAGAGCCUGUUUGUCCCUCUACCACGUGAGGGCACAGAAAGAAUGUGUUAUCUACGAACCACGCACUGGCCCUUACCAGACACCAAACACCAAACUUACAGCUGCCUUGAUUUUGAACUUCCAGCCUCCAUAACAUGAGCAAUAAAGUUCUAUUGUUUGGAAGCCACCUGGUCUGUGCAAUUUUGUUACAGCAGUGAGAACAGACUGUGACCACG